UGCAUGAGAAAUUGGAACAAGGGCAAAAGGAGAAGGGGAAGAUCUCUGGGCGAGUCUGUUUGUGCCGCCGUCAGCUUGGCUAUCAAUCAUUCGUUCGGCGGCAUUUUUCCGAGAAUCAAACAAUCCCGUUGGGUAAUUUGUUUGGCGGGAAAAGUUCUUAAAAAGGAAACUUGAGGCGGCAUCUGGUUUCUACUUUUAUCGGAUCAGUAGAAGAGUAGAAGUAGAACGCACUAAGAUUUUGUAUCUGUAACAAGUUUCCGUCCUCUAAGAAUCACUGUCAUGGCUGAUGUCCUUCCGUCGUGUCGGUCACCGGCGGCAAUGAAGGCCUCCGGAGAGGACGAGCUGUCGGCGAAAGAAGAGAACGUCGAUGGUUCAGCAAUGGCAGUUGAUUCAGACGUGAAUUUUGAAGCCGAGGUUUUGAAGUUACGAGGUCAAUGGGAGUUGGCAUCGGUUCUGAACUUCUUGAAUGUUUUCGAGCCGUUAAUUGGGAAAAGCUUGAGGAUAUCGGCAGAAGAGAUUGAGAAGGGUUUGAUAAAGCCCGACAGUUCAUUAGCUGAACUCCACAUUGUUCUUUUGAAGGGUAUACUACCACCUGUAGGUAAAAUGUUAAAUGGUUCUAAUGCAUGGGUGACCGUACUUUGUAAGAAGCUCGCCCAAUGGUGGCCUUGGGUUGCUGAAGGGGAAAUUCCAAUUAAGGCCUUUAAAGGAGAGGAGAUAUCAAAUUACAAUAAUCUUGAUCCGACAAAACGCUUACUGCUUCUAAAAGCUCUAUGUCAAAUUCGAGCUGAUCAAGAUGAUGCAGUAUCAUAUAUUAGCGACUGCUCGAAAGAUAAAACUCAAAUAUCUUGUUUCCAGAAAGAUAAAUUUGGAGGAGAUGGAAAUGGAGUUUCCUAUUGGUAUGAUGGGAAUCCAUUUGUUGGUUAUAGACUAUACAAGGAAGUUAUCAAAUGUGAUAGAAAGAAAAAAGGUAAACAAAACGGAAGUAUUUCCCUUCCAAAGUUUAGCACUCGAUGGGAAACAAUGGCCACAAGUCUCGAGGAAUUUCAUAAAGUUAAAGACAACCUUUUAUGCAGCAAGAUCAGCAGUGAAUUUGCUGUUGGAAGCAAAAUUGAAUCAGAUGCCAUUCCCGUUCUUGAGAAACUUCGGAAGAACAAGGAAAGGUCAUUGAAACGUAAGCAUAGAAAGAGCAUGCUCUUGAAUGGCUUUAAGAAGCCCUGUGUAGUUGGAGUUACUCGCACUUGUCGGAUUCGUGCACCCGUGAACUAUACAUUUGAGGAGUACAAUCGGGCUAUUGAUGACGCCAUAGGGAUAUCUAGGAACGUGAAAAAAACUGAUGAAAAAGAGCAAGGGAUGCAUCACAAGCGCAAUAGAACAGAUGUUUCUACUAGUGGGAAAUCAGUGGAUGCCUCUGGAAACAGCGGCGAGUGCAGCAACAAUGACACUGGAAGCAACACAACCAAAGAAACUGAUCUUGACAGCGCUGCUCACAUUGAUAAGAAUUAUGAGGACAACGACGACAGAAGCAACGAUUUCGAUUCUGAUAAUUUCGAUGCAGAAGAGAAGAAUGAAAUGCUUCAAUCCAAAGAGCCUGCAGGAGGAGUGUGCAGUAAGAGGGUGGAUACAAGCAGGAAUCAUCAUGUUAGCAAUGAAAUUACAAAGGUGGGUGCCAAAAGUAGGCUGAGACAAAGACCAGUUCUUAACUCUGCCCUUGGAAAUUGAUACUGCAUCUUGAAGAGCAUCAUGCAUGCCAGCCGCUACAACAAUUGGGUAAGCGAAUCGAGCACGGGUGUUUAAGCUUAUGACUUCGAGCCAGGUAGUAUGUCAAUUACUGUUAAGUUAAUCUAACAUUUUAUGAAUAGUUCUUAGGUAAAUUUUUAGAUGGAUAUCGACAUUUAUUAAUUACGUUUAGUUUAACUUAUCAUUUCGUACCUACCAAGCUGAGUAUAAUUCAGCUAGUAGAAAGUUUGAAUUUUUAACAAAGAUUUGAAAUUUAAAUUUUUCAUUUUGUA